UACGUAGGGUGCAAGCGUUGUCCGGAAUUAUUGGGCGUAAAGAGCUCGUAGGCGGUUCGUCACGUCGGCUGUGAAAUCCCGAGGCUCAACCUCGGGUCUGCAGUCGAUACGGGCGGACUUGAGUACUGCAGGGGAGACCGGAAUUCCUGGUGUAGCGGUGAAAUGCGCAGAUAUCAGGAGGAACACCGGUGGCGAAGGCGGGUCUCUGGGCAGUAACUGACGCUGAGGAGCGAAAGCGUGGGGAGCGAACAGG
rnacentral:rRNA from 1 species